GCGUGGGCACACGCACCUCACAAGUCCGGGAACUGUGUCCACGCCCUUUUAAAGAGGACCACGCCCUUCCCACGGCCCCGCCCCCGAUGGCGAAAGAAGUCAACGACAGCGCCCACCACAGGCUUUCCUUAAAGGGGAAACCCAUUUCUGUCGUCUAAAAAAGGAGCUUCCUACAGCGCCUUCCCUUAAGGUUUGCAGCCAGAAACAGGUAUGGUGGAAGCCAUCAAGACAUCAAAGGAGGAAAGACUUAUUGUCCUCAGUGAAAGUGUAGAUUUGGGCAGCUCCACCACUACCAGCAAUCCCAUCUACAAAUUUGGGGGAUAAAUAAAGAAUCAUGGAAAACUUUGAGAAGGAGGUGAGUGAGAUGGAAAAAGCCUCCUUCAAGUGUACCUGGAUCCUGGAUAAACCGAAACCUGAAUGUGA